UUGCUUCAGCAGCACAUAUACUAAAAUUGGAAUGAUAAAGAGAUAAAGAGAUUAGCAUGGCCCUUGGGCAAGAAUGACAUGCAAAUUCGUGAAGCAUUCCCUAUUUUU